CGGGUGAGUAAUGUAUGGGGAUCUGCCUGAUGGGGGGGGAUAACUACUGGAAACGGUAGCUAAUACCGCAUAAUGUCUGCGGACCAAAGCGGGGGACCUCCGGGCCUCGCGCCAUCAGAUGAACCCAUAUGGGAUUAGCUUGUAGGUAAGGUAACGGCUUACCUAGGCGACGAUCCCUAGCUGGUCUGAGAGGAUGAUCAGCCACACUGGGACUGAGACACGGCCCAG
rnacentral:rRNA from 1 species